AUUGAACGCUGGCGGCAGGCCUAACACAUGCAAGUCGAACGAGUGGCGGACGGGUGAGUAAUGUCUGGGAAACUGCCUGAUGGAGGGGGAUCACUACUGGAAACGGUAGCUAAUACCGCAUACCAUCAGAUGUGCCCAGAUGGGCUUAGCUAGUUGGUGGGGUAACGGCUCACCAAGGCGACGAUCCCUCGCGGGUCUGAGAGGAUGACCAGACACACUUGAACUGAGACACGGGCCAGACGCCUACGGGAGGCAGCAGUGGGGAAUAUUGCACAAUGGGCGCAAGCCUGCUGCAGCCAUGCCGCGUGUAGGAAGAAGGCCUUCGGGUUUUAAAGUACUUUCAGCGGGGAGGCGUUACCCGCAGAAGAAGCACCGGCUAACUCCGUGCCAGCAGCCGCGGUAAUUC
rnacentral:rRNA from 1 species